UAUACCACUGAUGGAGGUGUAGUGUUGUAAUGGUCACACUAUACCACUGAUGUAGGUGUAGUGUUGUAAUGGUCACACUAUACCACUGUUGUAGGAGUAGUGUUGUAAUGGUCACAUCAUGCCACUGAUGUAGGUGUAGUGUUGUAAUGGUCGCACUAUACCACUGUUGUAGGUGUUGUGUUGUAAUGGUCACACUAUACCGCUGUUGUAGGUGUAGUGUUGUAAUGGGCACACUUUACCACUGAUGGAGGGGUAGGGUUGUAUUGGUCACACUUUACCACUGUUGUAGGGGUAGUGUUGUAAUGGUCACAUCAUAUCACUGAUGGAGGUGUAGUGUUGGAAUGGUCACACUAUACCACUGAUAGAGGUUUAGUGUUGUAAUGGUCACACUAUACCACGGUUGUAGGUGUAGUGUUGUAAUGGUCACACUAUACCACUGUUGUAGGUGUAGUGUUGUAAUGGUCACAUCAUACCACUGAUGUAGGUAUAGUGUUGUAAUGGUCACACUAUACCACUGUUGUAGGGGUAGUGUUGUAAUGGUCACACUAUACCACUGAUGGAGGUGUAGUUUUGUAAUGGUCACACUUUACCACUGAUGGAGGGGUAGUGUUGUAAUGGUCAAACUAUACCACUGAUGUAGGUGUAGUGUUGUAAUGGUCACACUAUCCCACUGUU